GCAGAGGCUGUAACAGAAGGCAGAGCAGAAGCCUGGUAGCGGACAGAGCCUUUAGGACAUUGCGAUCAUCACCGUCCGUGGUUUCGAAUGACCAAUGUGUACUUCCAGGGAAGGAAGAGUAGGACACGGAGGUCAACACAAUGGGCAAGACGAACUAAGAGAAGACCACUGCCUGACAUGAGCUUCUUGUUCCCUCUCCAUGGCACAGCCCCCGAAUUGCAUGGAAGCUGAAGGCGUGUUCCUUUGAAAACAACAAAGAACCUCCGUAGAGGGCAAUGCCUAGAAAGAGCACAUGCGAAGCUUCCGUAUUAUGGAGCUGGUGGCAGAGAACCGCCCUGAUAACCUCUCCACACCGAGC